UACGUAGGGUGCGAGCGUUAAUCGGAAUUACUGGGCGUAAAGCGUGCGCAGGCGGUUUUGUAAGCCAGAUGUGAAAGCCCCGGGCUCAACCUGGGAGGUGCGCGCGAGACUGUGGUGCUGGAGUUCGGGAGAGGAGAGCGUAGAGUCCAGUGUAGAGGUGAAAUUCGUAGAUAUUCGCAAGAACACCAGUGGCGAAGGCGGCUCACUGGCCCGAUACUGACGCUGAGGCACGAAAGCGUGGGGAGCAAACAGG
rnacentral:rRNA from 1 species